UGUUGGGUUAAGUCCGCACGAGCGCAACCCUCGACCUUAGUUGCCAGCAUUCAGUUGGGCACUCUAAGGUGACUGCCGGCUAAAAGUCGGAGGAAGGUGGGGAUGACGUCAAAUCAUCAUGCCCCUUAUGACCUGGGCUACACACGUGCUACAAUGGGCGGUACAAAGGGUCGCGAACCCGCGAGGGGGAGCCAAUCCCAAAAAAGCCGCUCUCAGUUCGGAUUGCAGGCUGCAACUCGCCUGCAUGAAGCCGGAAUCGCUAGUAAUCGCGGAUCAGCAUGCCGCGGUGAAUACGUUCCCGGGCCUU
rnacentral:rRNA from 1 species